UACGAGUGCCCCGAGCGUUAUCCGGAAUCAUUGGGCGUAAAGGGUGUGUAGGUGGUCUUGUUAGUCUUCUGUCAAAUUCUUCGGCUUAACCGGGGGUCCGCAGGGGAAACGGCAAGACUAGAGGAUGCGAGGGGUGAAUGGAACUCAUAGUGGAGGGGUGAAAUCCGUUGAUAUUAUGGGGAACACCAAAAGCGAAGGCAAUUCACUGGCGCACUUUCCUGACACUGAAACACGAAAGCGUGGGUAGCGAAUGGG
rnacentral:rRNA from 1 species